GGGUCAGUAGGUUGGUCGUGCCACCGGUACGUACUGGUCUCACUGAUUCCUCCUUCCUGAAGGACUGUAAUGCCAUUAAUUUGGUGUUGCGGGGAAACAGGACUGUUACUUUGAAAAAAUUAGAGUGUUUAAAGCAAGCUAACGCUUGAAUACAUUAGCAUGGAAUAAUGAAAUAGGACGAUCGAUCCUAUUUUGUUGGUUUCUAGGAUUGACGUA
rnacentral:rRNA from 1 species